rnacentral:rRNA from 1 species
UACGUAGGGGGCAAGCGUUGUCCGGAAUCAUUGGGCGUAAAGAGCGUGUAGGCGGUCCGGUCAGUCGGUUGUGAAAGUCAAGGGCUCAACCCUUGAAUGCCGGCCGAUACUGCCGGGCCUAGAGUCCGGAAGAGGUGAGUGGAAUUCCUGGUGUAGCGGUGAAAUGCGCAGAUAUCAGGAGGAACACCGAUGGCGAAGGCAGCUCACUGGGACGGUACUGACGCUGAGACGCGAAAGCGUGGGGGAGCAAACAGG